rnacentral:rRNA from 1 species
UACAGAGGGGGCAAGCGUUGUUCGGAAUUACGUGGGCGUAAAAGGGCGCGUAGGCGGCCUGCUGAAGUCGAACGAUUGAAAUCCCCGAGCUACAACAUCGGGACUGCGUCCGAUACUGGCAGGCUUGAAUCCGGGAGAGGGAUGCGGAAUUCCAAGGUGUAGCGGUGAAAUGACGUAGAUAUCUGGAGGAAUACCGGGUGGCGAAGGCGGCAAUCCGUGGACCGACGAUUGAGCG